CCAAGUGACCGCCGUCAGACCUGUCUGGCAAGCAGGCCGCCCCUCGGUGCUGCCUCCCCGCGGGGGCACAGGGGCCUCGGCCAGGCCGCGGCAGAAGGCAGCCCCGGGACCUACCUGUGCCGGCCGCCGGCGCCCACGGAUCCCCCACCUGAGUCCUCGCCGCACAGGUGUGCAGGCGGGGGCGAGGCCCGGGCGAAGGAUCCCCCACCUCGCCCCCGGCCGCUCCUCCCCUCCCGGGCCGAACGUAGGCCCUCCUCGGCCGCGGAGUGGGCGAGCCGGUGGCGGCCCCGGAGGCGGCGGGGAGGUGGGAGCAGCCGGCGCCUCCGGAAUUUUCUCCCCAUCCCGCCCACAGCAGGGGCCCCCAGGCGCUUCCUGAGGUCAGAGGGCUCGCCCCGGCCCCACGCGGAAAAGUACCGGCCAGGCCCGGCGCGCUCAGGUGGGCUGUGGGGCACCCUCCCCGCUCCAGGCGGCUCCACCUUCGGGCCCGGCCCUGGAGCCAGUUCCCGAAAGCCGGCGGGCAGCCGGGCCCCGGGGGACGCGGGUCCGGGCUGCCCCGGCGCCAGUGCCUCGACCCUCCCGGGCCACGGAGCCCGCUCGCGGGACAGAACGGCCCGGCCCGGCCGGCUCCCUUCGGGCCCGGCUCCCAGGCGCGCUGCCUCCCCCGGGCCCCGGGCCCCGGGCCCCGCGCCCUCGCCGCUUACCCUGGGGAGCCCGGGCGGGGAAACUUUUUCCAGGCGAGCGCCGCGGAGAUUCGGGCGCGGAGGCGGGGGAGGCGCCGCAGCGCGGCCUCGGCCGGGCCGGCGACCAGGGCAGGGCUCGGCCUGGGCUCCGGCUCCGGCUCCGGCUCCAGCGCGGGCGGGGGGCAGCGGCCGGGCCGCGGCGGCGCGGCUUGUUUACACGGGCCGCUGUCAGCGGCGGCGGCGGCGGCGGCGGCGGCCCGGGCUCCUCCUCCUCCGCCGCCGCGCCCCUCCCCCUCGCGGCGCCACCUCCGCGCUUCCCCGGCCGCCGCCGCCACCGGCCCCGGCGCGCCGGUCGCCCAUGCCGCCCGGCCCGGGGCCCGCGUUCUCGGCACCAGCGCCGUGCGCUCCCAGCGCGUCCGGCCCCUGCGGCCUCUGGGGCGCCGCUGCCCCCGGCUCUCGGUAG
rnacentral:lncRNA from 13 species